AGUGAACGCUGGCGGUAGGCCUAGCACAUGCAAGUCGAACGGCAGCACAGUAAGAGCUUGCUCUUACGGGUGGCGAGUGGCGGACGGGUGAGGAAUACAUCGGAAUCUACUUUUUCGUGGGGGAUAACGUAGGGAAACUUACGCUAAUACCGCAUACGACCUACGGGUGAAAGCAGGGGAUCUUCGGACCUUGCGCGAUUGAAUGAGCCGAUGUCGGAUUAGCUAGUUGGCGGGGUAAAGGCCCACCAAGGCGACGAUCCGUAGCUGGUCUGAGAGGAUGAUCAGCCACACUGGAACUGAGACACGGUCCAGACUCCUACGGGAGGCAGCAGUGGGGAAUAUUGGACAAUGGGCGCAAGCCUGAUCCAGCCAUACCGCGUGGGUGAAGAAGGCCUUCGGGCUGUAAAGCCCUUUUGUUGGGAAAGAAAAGCAGCAGGUUAAUACCCCGCUGUUCUGACGGUACCCAAAGAAUAAGCACCGGCUAACUUCGUG
rnacentral:rRNA from 1 species